UUGAGAGAUAGAUGGGAGGGGUCUAAUGGGGCUGGAGGGUGGGACUGGAUGAUGUUCAGAGACAGAUGGGAGGGGUCUAAUGGAGCUGGAGGGUGGGACUGGAUGGUGUUGAGAGAUAGAUGGGAGGGGUCUAAUGGGGCUGGAGGGUGGAACUGGAUGAUGUUCAGAGACAGAUGGGAGGGGUCUAAUGGGGCUGGAGGUUGGGACUGGAUGGUGUUGAGAGAUAGAUGGGAGGGGUCUAAUGGAGCUGAAGGGACUGGAUGGUGUUGAGAGAUAGAUGGGAGGGGUCUAAUGAAGCUGGAGGGUGGGACUGGAUGGUGUUGAGAGAUAGAUGGGAGGGGUUGAAUGGAGCUGAAGGUUGGGACUGGAUGGUGUUGAGAGAUAGAUGGGAGGGGUUGAAUGGAGCUGAAGGGUGGGACUGGAUGGUGUUGAGAGAUAGAUGGGAGGGGUCUAAUGGAGCUGGAGGGUGGGACUGGAUGGUGUUGAGAGACAGAUGGGAGGGGUCUAAUGGAGCUGAAGGGUGGGACUGGAUGGUGUUGAGAGACAGAUGGGAGGGGUUGAAUGGAGCUGAAGGGUAGGACUGGAUGGUGUUGAGAGAUAGAUGGGAGG
ensembl:lncRNA